CUGUUCUCUUCUGCAUAAGCUUCGUUCAGUACUGCAAUGAUUACUGUCUUGUUUGGCAUUGAAGCUCGUUGUAGCGCUGCUUCGAGCUCAUCUCUAGGUUUGAUUGAUGCCUGAAAUUAUAAGGAGGGUUUACACUGAAGAAACCAGUGAGAAAGUUGGGGAAGAAAUCUGCAGAUUUUGUUCAAAAAAUGUGGACAAAAUUCCUACUUACAGUUACUGGACAUCCCAAUGUAGCAAGGUUUAAAGCUUUUUUGGUCGUCAGCUUACUGUAUCAUGUUGCUAGCUUGUUAAUUGAGAUUCAGUGAAUGUUGCAACAACAAAUGCUAGCGGUAUGAAAUCAAUUUCAAGUUUAUUAUUUUGAUA